rnacentral:rRNA from 1 species
AGAGUUUGAUCAUGGCUCAGAGUGAACGUUGGCGGCGUGGAUUAGGCAUGCAAGUCGAACGCGAAAGUUCCUUCGGGAAUUAGUAGCGUGGCGAAAGGGGCAGUAAGGCAUAAGCAACCUACCCUUCGGACUGGGAUAUACGGUGGAAACGCCGGGCAAUACUGGACAUCGUCAUUGGGGGGCAUCUUCCGAUGAUGAAACGGUCUUCCGCCGGAGGAGGGGCUUAUGUGCUACCAGCUAGUUGGUGAGGUAAUGGCUCACCAAGGCGACGACGGCUAGGGGGUGUGAGAGCACGACCCCCGCCACUGGCACUGAGACACUGGCCAGACUCCUACGGGAGGCUGCAGUCGAGAAUCUUCGGCAAUGGGGGCAACCCUGACCGAGCGACGCCGCGUGGUGGAAGAAGGCCUUCGGGUUGUAAACACCUGUUGGGGGGGAACAAUUUUGAGUGAACCCCUGAGGAAGCACGGGCUAAGUUCGUGCCAGCAGCCGCGGUAAGACGAACCGUGCGAACGUUACUCGGAAUCACUGGGCUUAAAGCGCACGUAGGCGGCAGCAUAAGUCAGAGGUGAAAUCCCACGGCUCAACCGUGGAACUGCCUCUGAUACUGUGUUGCUCGAGGGGGAACGGGGCAUCUGGAACUUCCGGUGGAGCGGUGAAAUGUGUUGAUAUCGGAAGGAACGCCGGUGGCGAAAGCGAGAUGCUGGGUCUCUUCUGACGCUGAGGUGCGAAAGCUAGGGUAGCGAACGGGAUUAGAUACCCUGGUAGUCC